UACAAAUAGGAUGGUGUUCUUGAUA
rnacentral:piRNA from 2 species